rnacentral:rRNA from 1 species
GACAGAGGCCACGAACGUUGUUCGGAAUCACUGGGCAUAAAGCGCACGUAGGCGGCUAGGUCCGUCCAAUGUGAAAGCCCCCGGCUCAACCGGGGAAUUGCAUCGGAUACAGCCUGGCUUGAGGACGGUUGGGGUGAGUGGAACUCCUGGUGGAGCGGUGAAAUGCGUAGAUAUCAGGAGGAACACCGGUGGCGAAAGCGGCUCACUGGACCGUUUCUGACGCUGAGGUGCGAAAGCUAGGGGAGCAAACGGG